AAGUUAAUUCCCGGCCUCCUGACGUGCUCCGGGGCCGCAUGUCCGAGGCUGGCGGGGCCGGGCCGGGCAGCUGCGGGGCAGAAGCCGGGGCAGGGGCCAGCCCGGGGCGCUGCCCCCGCAGCCUGCGGCGCUGCCGCUCGCGUCCCCGCAGGGCUCCCCCUGCGCCGCUGCUGCCGGGGGCUCGGGCGCCUGCGGUCCGGCGACGGCAGUGGCUGCAGCGGGCACGGCCGAAGGACCGGGAGGCGGUGGCUCGGCCCGAAUCGCAGUGAAGAAAGUGCAACUACGCUCCGCUCCGCAGGCCAAGAAACUGGAGAAACUCGGAGUGUACUCCGCCUGCAAGGCCGAGGAGUCUUGUAAAUGUAAUGGCUGGAAAAACCCUAACCCCUCACCCACUCCCUCCAGAGCCGAUCUGCAGCAAAUAAUUGUCAGUCUAAUAGAAUCCUGUCGGAGUUGUAGCCAUGCCCUAGCUGCUCAUGUUUCCCUCCUGGAGAAUGUGUCAGAGGAAGAAAUGAACAGACUCCUGGGAAUAGUAUUGGAUGUGGAAUAUCUCUUUACCUGUGUCCACAAGGAAGAAGAUGCAGACACCAAACAAGUUUAUUUCUAUCUAUUUAAGCUCUUGAGAAAGUGUGUUUUACAAAGAGGAAAACCUGUGGUUGAAGGCUCUUUGGAAAAGAAACCCCCAUUUGAAAAACCUAGCAUUGAACAGGGUGUGAAUAACCUUGUACAGUACAAAUUUAGUCACCUGCCAGCAAAAGAAAGGCAAACAAUAGUUGAGUUGGCAAAAAUGUUCCUAAACCGCAUCAACUAUUGGCAUCUGGAGGCACCAUCUCAACGAAGACUGCGAUCUCCCAAUGAUGAUAUUUCUGGAUACAAAGAACUACACAAGGUGGCUGUGUUACUGCAACAUGCCACAGUUCUGCGACAGUCUACCUCGGUACGAAACCACACAGGUGUUUGGGAGAACAUUGCUUCGCUCGGUCUUCACUGUUAUGAGGCGACAACUCCUGGAACAAGCAAGACAGGAAAAAGAUAGACUGCCUCUUGAAAAACGAACUCUAAUCCUCACUCACUUCCCAAAAUUUCUGUCCAUGCUAGAAGAAGAAGUUUAUAGUCAAAAUUCUCUCAUCUAGGAUCAGGAUUUUCUCUCAGCCUCUUCCAGAACCAGCCAGCUAGGCAUCCAAACAGUUAUCAAUCCAACUCCUGUGGCUGGGACAAUUUCAUACAAUUCAACCUCAUCUUCCCUUGAGCAGCCAAAUGCAGGGAGCAGCAGUCCUGCCUGCAAAGCCUCUUCUGGACUUGAGGCAAACCCAGGAGAAAAGAGGAAAAUGACUGAUUCUCAUGUUCUAGAGGAGGCCAAGAAACCCCGAGUUAUAGGGGAUAUUCCGAUGGAAUUAAUCAACGAGAUUAUGUCUACCAUCACGGACCCUGCAGCAAUGCUUGGACCAGAGACCAACUUUCUGUCAGCACACUCAGCCAGGGAUGAGGCGGCAAGGUUGGAGGAGCGCAAGGGUGUAACUGAAUUUCACGUGGUUGGCAAUUCCCUCAACCAGAAACCAAACAAGAAGAUCCUGAUGUGGCUGGUUGGCCUACAGAACGUUUUCUCCCACCAGGUGCCCCGAAUGCUGAAAGAAUACAUCACACGGCUCGUCUUUGACCCGAAACACAAAACCCUUGCUUUAAUUAAAGAUGGCCAUGUUAUUGAUGGUAUCUGUUUCCGUAUGUUCCCAUCUCAAGGAUUCACAGAGAUUGUCUUCUGUGCUGUAACCUCAAACGAGCAAGUCAAGGGCUAUGGAACACACCUGAUGAAUCAUUUGAAAGAAUAUCACAUAAAGCAUGACAUCCUGAACUUCCUCACAUAUGCAGAUGAAUAUGCAAUUGGAUACUUUAAGAAAUAGGGUUUCUCCAAAGAAAUUAAAAUACCUAAAACCAAAUAUGUUGGCUAUAUCAAGGAUUAUGAAGGAGCCACUUUAAUGGGAUGUGAGCUAAAUCCACGGAUCCCGUACACAGAAUUUUCUGUCAUCAUUAAAAAGCAGAAGGAGAUAAUUAAAAAGCUGAUUGAAAGAAAACAGGCACAGAUUCGAAAAGUUUACCCUGGACUUUCAUGUUUUAAAGAUGGAGUUCGACAGAUUCCUAUAGAAAGCAUUCCUGGAAUUAGAGACAGGCUGGAAACCAAGCGGAAAAGAGAAAAGUAAAGAGCCCAGAGACCCUGACCAGCUUUAGAGCAUGCUCAAGAGCCUCCUCCAGCAGGUGAAGAGCCAUCAAAGCGCUUGGCCCUUCAUGGAACCUGUGAAGAGAACAGAAGCUCCAGGAUAUUAUGAAGUUAUAAGGUUCCCCAUGGAUCUGAAAACCAUGAGUGAACGCCUCAAGAAUAGGUACUACGUAUCUAAGAAAUUAUUCAUGGCAGACUUACAGCGAGUCUUUACCAAUUGCAAAGAGUACAACCCCCCUGAGAGUGAAUACUACAAAUGUGCCAAUAUCCUGGAGAAAUUAUUCUUCAGUAAAAUCAAGGAAGCUGUAUUGACAAGAGAUUUUUUUCCCCUCUGCUUCUUAGAAACUCAUCAAGCAGUGUGCCUAAAGCAAGGUGGUUUAGUUUUUUUACAAAGAAUUGGACAUGAUGUAUUGAAGAGACUUGUAAAUGUAAUAAUUAGCACUUUUGAAAAACAAAAAACCUCCUUUUAGCUUUUCAGAUAUGUAUUUAAAUUGAAGUCAUAGGACAUUUUUAUUUUAUGGAAUAGAUUUUAAUCUAUUUACUACUAUUAAGGUAAAUUUUCUAUG